rnacentral:rRNA from 1 species
UGGGGAAUAUUGGGCAAUGGGCGCAAGCCUGACCCAGCAACGCCGCGUGAAGGAUGAAGGUCUUCGGAUUGUAAACUUCUUUGGUCAGGGACGAAACAAAUGACGGUACCUGAAGAACAAGCCACGGCUAACUACGUGCCAGCAGCCGCGGUAAUACGUAGGUGGCGAGCGUUAUCCGGAUUUACUGGGUGUAAAGGGCGUGUAGGCGGGUUUUUAAGUUGGAUGUGAAAUCCCCAGGCUUAACCUGGGAGGGUCAUCCAAAACUGGAGAUCUUGAGUGUCGGAGAGGAAAGCGGAAUUCCUAGUGUAGCGGUAAAAUGCGUAGAUAUUAGGAGGAACAUCAGUGGCGAAGGCGGCUUUCUGGACGAUAACUGACGCUGAGGCGCGAAAGCGUGGGGAGCAAACAGG